rnacentral:rRNA from 1 species
GACGAACGCUGGCGGCGUGCUUAACACAUGCAAGUCGAACGGAAAGGCCCUGCUUUUGUGGGGUGCUCGAGUGGCGAACGGGUGAGUAACACGUGAGUAACCUGCCCUUGACUUUGGGAUAACUUCAGGAAACUGGGGCUAAUACCGGAUAGGAGCUCCUGAUGCAUGGUGGGGGUUGGAAAGUUUCGGCGGUUGGGGAUGGACUCGCGGCUUAUCAGCUUGUUGGUGGGGUAGUGGCUUACCAAGGCUUUGACGGGUAGCCGGCCUGAGAGGGUGACCGGCCACAUUGGGACUGAGCUACGGCCCAGACUCCUACGGGAGGCAGCGGUGGGGAAUAUUGCACAAUGGGCGGAAGCCUGAUGCAGCAACGCCGCGUGCGGGAUGACGGCCUUCGGGUUGUAAACCGCUUUCGCCUGUGACGAAGCGUGAGUGACGGUAAUGGGUAAGGAAGCACCGGCUAACUACGUG